AGGGGUAUAGUUCAAUGGCAGAACAUCGGUCUUCAAAACCGAGUGUUAUCGGUUCGAGUCCGGUUACCCCUGCCA
rnacentral:tRNA from 1 species